GCCCCAGUUCAUUCAUUUUAGCUGCUGUGGUUUUCCACUAUUGAAUAUGCAACACUGUGAGUGGCUUCAAAGAGUGCCUGGGAAGGGGAAUUAAAAGAUAAAUUUAUUUUGGUGCAAAAAGUUGAAAUCCAUGUACAGUUUUGUCAUUGUAUGCAUUUUCCAUGGACUUUUUGGUCACCUGUUAAUGAGCAUUUCAUUUGUUCCCCAACUGUAGCAAAAUGCUGUCAAUAACGUAAUUACAGAUGUCCUUGUGCUUAAAUCUAGGUUUUCCGGCAGAACAGAGCAAGAGCUCAAUAUCUUAUGCAUUUUUUCGUCAACUUUCGAAGACCCUGUGUGCUAAGUCCAGAAGAGAUGGGACAGCCAUCCUUAGCGAAAAUUCCGAGCCGAAGCUAUACAUCUUUUUGCAGUACCACUGUCAGGACGAGAAAGGUCCCAUAGUUCUGUUGGAGAAAAAAGUGGGAGUUGAGUGAUUGGCCACGUUCCCUUCAAGUCGCUGUUUCACGUGUCACUACAGGUGAGGAAGUCCGUCUGGUGAUUCCCUACCCUCCCAGGGUGCUGGGGGCAGGAGUCCUUCUCUGUGACAGCAGAGGUACAUGAUCCCGAGGGCUGAGGGGUGCAGUUGAGAGCCAAGCGUUCUGCUUACACUUCCAGGCCUUUCUCUGCCCGGUGGCAAUGGCUGAUGGCUCAGGCCAGGCACACUUUGGGUGUUGCCUCAAGUGUGUGGGUAAGAACAAAACAUCCCCUCCAAGGCAUUCUCUGUGCAGCCUGUUUCAGAAUUAAAUACUUUGGGGCUCUCUUUUGACUCCCUUAGAGAGAGGUAUCUGUUUUUCUUUAGAGAAUCUAUGGGAAGCAGGAGCUACAGGCACCUACAGGCACCACCCCAGGCACACGUGGGUGGUGGUGUUGGGUGGUCUUGCUCAUCAGCCCGAGUUGGACAUCUCUGUGGGUGCUGAACGGCAGAGGAGC
rnacentral:lncRNA from 1 species